GACGAACGCUGGCGGCGCGCUUAACACAUGCAAGUCGAACGGAAAGGCCUGCUUUCCCUUGUGGAUUGCGGGUACUCGAGUGGCGAACGGGUGAGUAACACGUGAGUUAUCUGCCCCCAACUUUGGUAUAAGCCUGGGAAACUGGGUCUAAUUCCCGAUAGGACUGCAGGGUGGUGCCUGUGGUUGAAAACGAUUUUCUAGUGGUUGGGGAUGAGCUCGCGGCCUAUCAGCUUGUUGGUGGGGUAAUGGCCUACCAAGGCGGGGACGGGUAGCCGGCCUGGGAGGGCGGACGGGCACAGUGGGACUGGGAGACGGCCCCGACGCCUACGGGAGGCAGCAGGCGGGAAUAAGACGCGAUGGGCGGAAGCCUGAGGCAGCGAGGCCGCGGGGGGGAUGACGGCCUUCGGGUUGUAAACUCCUUUCGACCGCGAGGAAGCCACCUGGUUGGAAGGGUGGUGACGGUAGUGGUAGAAGAAGCACCGGCUAACUACGUG
rnacentral:rRNA from 1 species